AGUGAACGCUGGCGGUAGGCCUAACACAUGCAAGUCGAACGGCAGCACAGGAGAGCUUGCUCUCUGGGUGGCGAGUGGCGGACGGGUGAGGAAUACAUCGGAAUCUACUCUGUCGUGGGGGAUAACGUAGGGAAACUUACGCUAAUACCGCAUACGACCUACGGGUGAAAGCAGGGGACCUUCGGGCCUUGCGCGAUUGAAUGAGCCGAUGUCGGAUUAGCUAGUUGGCGGGGGAAAGGCCCCCCAAGGCGACGAUCCGUAGCUGGUCUGAGAGGAUGAUCAUCAACACUGGAACUGAGACACGGGCCAGACUCCUACGGGAGGCAGCAGUGGGGAAUAUUGGACAAUGGGCGCAAGCCUGAUCCAGCCAUACCGCGUGGGUGAAGAAGGCCUUCGGGUUGUAAAGCCCUUUUGUUGGGAAGGAAAUCCAGCUGGCUAAUACCCGGUUGGGAUGACGGUACCCAAAGAAUAAGCACCGGCUAACUUCGUGCCAGCCGCCGCGGUAA
rnacentral:rRNA from 1 species